GGAGGACAUACAAGUAGAGAGAUACUAUAGAGCAGAGAAACAGCAUCACCAUGAUCGCAAAGAUUUGUGUCAUCAUUAUUCUUUUUGUUGUCUACUGCAACGCACAGAGUGUACCUGUAAUUGCUUCAACAACAACCACAACUGCAGCAACAAACACCACAGCUGCUCCAACAACAACCACAACUGCAGCAACAAACACCACAGCUGCUCCAACAACGACC